GAUGAACGCUGGCGGCGUGCCUAAUACAUGCAAGUCGAGCGAACAGACGAGGAGCUUUCUCCUCUGACGUUAGCGGCGGACGGGUGAGUAACACGUGGAUAACCUACCUAUAAGACUGGGAUAACUUCGGGAAACCGGAGCUAAUACCGGAUAAUAUAUUGAACCGCAUGGUUCAAUAGUGAAAGACGGUUUUGCUGUCACUAAUAGAUGGAUCCGCGCCGCAUUAGCUAGUUGGUAAGGUAACGGCUUACCAAGGCGACGAUGCGUAGCCGACCUGAGAGGGUGAUCGGCCACACGGGAACUGAGAAACGGUCCAGACUCCUACGGGAGGCAGCAGUAGGGAAUCUUCCGCAAUGGGCGAAAGCCUGACGGAGCAACGCCGCGUGAGUGAUGAAGGUCUUCGGAUCGUAAAACUCUGUUAUUAGGGAAGAACAAAUGUGUAAGUAACUAUGCACGUCUUGACGGUACCUAAUCAGAAAGCCACGGCUAACUACGUG
rnacentral:rRNA from 1 species